rnacentral:rRNA from 1 species
CAGGAUGUUGGCUUAGAAGCAGCCAUCAUUUAAAGAAAGCGUAAUAGCUCACUGGUCGAGUCGUCCUGCGCGGAAGAUGUAACGGGGCUCAAAUCUAUAACCGAAGCUGCGGAUGCCAGUUUACUGGCAUGGUAGGGGAGCGUUCUGUAGGCCGAUGAAGGUGCAUUGUAAAGUGUGCUGGAGGUAUCAGAAGUGCGAAUGUUGACAUGAGUAGCGAUAAAGCGGGUGAAAAGCCCGCUCGCCGAAAGCCCAAGGUUUCCUACGCAACGUUCAUCGGCGUAGGGUGAGUCGGCCCCUAAGGCGAGGCAGAAAUGCGUAGUCGAUGGGAAACAGGUUAAUAUUCCUGUACUUGAUUCAAAUGCGAUGUGGGGACGGAGAAGGUUAGGUUAGCAAGCUGUUGGAAUAGCUUGUUUAAGCCGGUAGGUGGAAGACUUAGGCAAAUCCGGGUCUUCUUAACACCGAGAAGUGACGACGAGUGUCUAUGGACAUGAAGUAACCGAUACCACGCUUCCAGGAAAAGCCACUAAGCUUCAGUUUGAAUCGAACCGUACCGCAAACCGACACAGGUGGGCAGGAUGAGAAUUCUAAGGCGCUUGAGAGAACUCGGGAGAAGGAACUCGGCAAAUUGAUACCGUAACUUCGGGAGAAGGUAUGCCCUCUAAGGUUAAGGACUUGCUCCGUAAGCCCUGGAGGGUCGCAGAGAAUAGGUGGCUGCGACUGUUUAUUAAAAACACAGCACUCUGCUAACACGAAAGUGGACGUAUAGGGUGUGACGCCUGCCCGGUGCUGGAAGGUUAAUUGAAGAUGUGCAAGCAUCGGAUCGAAGCCCCAGUAAACGGCGGCCGUAACUAUAACGGUCCUAAGGUAGCGAAAUUCCUUGUCGGGUAAGUUCCGACCCGCACGAAUGGCGUAACGAUGGCCACACUGUCUCCUCCCGAGACUCAGCGAAGUUGAAGUGGUUGUGAAGAUGCAAUCUACCCGCUGCUAGACGGAAAGACCCCGUGAACCUUUACUGUAGCUUUGCAUUGGACUUUGAAGUCACUUGUGUAGGAUAGGUGGGAGGCUUUGAAGCAGAGACGCCAGUCUCUGUGGAGCCGUCCUUGAAAUACCACCCUGGUGUCUUUGAGGUUCUAACCCAGACCCGUAAUCCGGGUCGGGGACCGUGCAUGGUAGGCAGUUUGACUGGGGCGGUCUCCUCCCAAAGAGUAACGGAGGAGUUCGAAGGUUACCUAGGUCCGGUCGGAAAUCGGACUGAUAGUGCAAUGGCAAAAGGUAGCUUAACUGCGAGACCGACAAGUCGAGCAGGUGCGAAAGCAGGACAUAGUGAUCCGGUGGUUCUGUAUGGAAGGGCCAUCGCUCAACGGAUAAAAGGUACUCCGGGGAUAACAGGCUGAU